AAAGAAACUAACAAGGAUUUUCUUAGUAGCGGCGAGCGAAAAGAAAUCAGUUCAGCACUAAGUCACUUUGUCUAUAUGGCAAAUGUGAGAUGCAGUGUAUGGAACACCAAUAAUCUAGUAUGAGAAAUUAACGAUUUAAGUCCUUCUUAAAUGAGGCCAUUUACCCAUAGAGGGUGCCAGGCCCGUAAAACGUUAAUGAUUACUAGAUGGUGAUUUCAAAGAGUCGUGUUGCUUGAUAGUGCAGCACUAAGUGGGUGGUAAACUCCAUCUAAAACUAAAUAUAACCAUGAGACCGAUAGUAAACAAGUACCGUGAGGGAAAGUUGAAAAGAACUCUGAAUAGAGAGUUAAAUAGUACGUGAAACUGCUUAGAGGUUAAGCCCGAUGAACCUGAAUAUCCAUUAUGGAAAAUUCAUCAUUAGAAUUGUAAUAUUUAAACAAUAUUAUAAUAAUAGUGUGCAUUUUUUCCAUAUAAGGACAUUGUAAUCUAUUAGUAUAAUAAAUUUAUCAAAAAAUUGUGACUUAUUGUUUAUUUCAAUUAUUUUGCUUGCAUUUUAACAUAAAAUAAAUGUCAUAAAUUUGAUAAAGUACUGAUAGAUUUAUAUGAGUACAGUGCGUUAAUUUUUCGGAAUUAUAUAAUGGCAUAAUUAUCAUUGAUAUGUUGUGUUUAUUAUAUGCACUUGUAUGAUUAACAAUGAUUCGUUUCAGGAUACCUUCGGGACCCGUCUUGAAACACGGACCAAGGAGUCUAACAUAUGUGCAAGUUAUUGGGAUAUAAACCUAAUAGCAUAAUUAACUUGACCAUUAAUGGGAUUAGUUUUUUAACUAUUUAUAGUUAAUUAACACAAUCCCGGGGCG
rnacentral:rRNA from 1 species